rnacentral:tRNA from 1 species
CCUACUUAACUCAGUGGUUGGAGUAUCGCUUUCAUACGGCGAGAGUCAUUGGUUCAAAUCCAAUAGUAGGUAAUAU